UACGUAGGGUGCAAGCGUUGUUCGGAAUUACUGGGCGUAAAGCGCACGUAGGCGGAUUUGUAAGUCAGGGGUGAAAUCCCGAGGCUCAACCUCGGAACUGCCUUUGAUACUGCAAAUCUCGAGUCCGGAAGAGGUGAGUGGAAUUCCUAGUGUAGAGGUGAAAUUCGUAGAUAUUAGGAAGAACACCAGUGGCGAAGGCGGCUCACUGGUCCGGUACUGACGCUGAGGUGCGAAAGCGUGGGGAGCAAACAGGG
rnacentral:rRNA from 1 species